AAUGGUGUUACAGGCUUUGGCCAACCCAGAUAUGGUUUAUAAUGUUUGUUACAGGCUUUGGCCAACCCAGAUAUGGUUUAUAAUGUUUGUUACAGGCUUUGACCAACCUGUUGCCAUUGCCUGAACAGCAUCUCUGUGUCUGUCUGUUAGCUUUUUGUUAAAGUCGUCUUUAUGGAGACAUUAGGUAGAGUUGUUAUGUAGCACAUAGUCCCAGCCACGUGAGCACUGUACCGCAGGUAGAGACCCUGGAGUUGAACAUCAUGCCCUGAUCAAACAGAAAACCAGCGACAGAGCAUGUCUUGUCUGUCUCAAGGUUGCAAAAUUCUGCUUAACUUUAACAAAAUUCCACCAGGUUUUCCAGAAUACGGAGGAUUUGGAGGAUUGGAGGAUUCCUGUAUUUCCUGGUUUUUCUUCACUUCAUUCCGGGAAUCUUUCAACCAGUAUUUUCGGGAAAACCUGGGAAUUUUGGGGAAAUGUUUCAACCCCUAGGAGUGAUAGAUCUCUAAUGGUGGCAGCCGAUACACAAUACCCAGCACAGGAUAUAAAGUCCAGGCACAAACAGACAAACAAAACGCCUCUUUAGAUGUCAGUAAAGCACAGACAGUAAAGCGCACAUCUGAAGCACAACUGUGGAAGCACAAAGGAAGUGAGGUAGCGGAAUAGAUUAUUGCAUUGUUACCAGCAAAUAGAGCACAGCACUUUACUCAUAGCGUUGUARUGACUGGUGGAGCACAGCCGCAGGUUGCUAGGGACUACAUGGUCAUGUUGGUGGACGAGCUAGCAGAUCACUUAGCUACAUACCCAUACAGGCUACAGUACGUGUUUGGGCUAAUGUGUACAGCAGGAACUCACAGGYUUGUAUGCCAAAUGGCAUUCGUUUCCCUAUAUAGUGCAUUUGGGACGUAAACACAGGAAACCUAUCUCUUUCUCCCUUUAAAAAAGUUACGGAUUGUAUAGCACUUAAACAGACUAACAUGGUUCAUUAAUUAAUUAUACUAAAAGGUCAUAGAGGAAAUUAUUACCAAUUAGAGAGCUAGAAUCACUUGAACUAUUAUUGAUGGAGGGAGGCCAUGGAGGGAGGGAGGAAAAAGAGAGAGAGAGAGAGAUAUGUAGAGAGGAACAGUCUAAAAGGAUACAAAAAGCACACAAAGUGGACAGAGACUAGAAGGUAUAUAUUGCACAUUGCCUUUAAUCAUUCAUUUGCCUAAAAUUCUGCGUUAAGUUCCCUAAAUCACGUAUUGAGGUAAUGUAAUGUCAACUCCAGGGCCUGUAUGUAUUAUCACUGCCUUGUACAAGUACAAUACAUUAAUCCUGUGUAGACUAACUCAUUUUCUCUCAAAUUACAGUGAUAGUGUAUUUAUAUAACAGUGAUAAUAUGCUUUAUUCUGUGAAAGAUCAAUAUAUUGAACUACAGUACUUAAUGGGGGAAGUUUAGGAUUCUACAACUUGAUGUUAGCUGGUUCCUCACCCUGGUAGUAGUCUAGAUGCACCAUUCACUGCCAUUGAUUGUUAGCUAGCGGUGGCUAAAGGUAGCUAAAGUUUGUACCAUUCACUUCCAUUGAUUGUUAGCUAGCGGUGGCUAAAGGUAGCUAAAGUUUGUACCAUUCACUUCCAUUGAUUGUUAGCUAGCGGUGGCUAAAGGUAGCUAAAGUUUGUACCAUUCACUUCCAUUGAUUGUUAGCUAGCGGUGGCUAAAGGUAGUUCAAGUUUGUAGAUUCUGUUUGGAGAAAACCGAUCCAUUAGUUACAGUUUCUCCUGGCCCAUAAGACGAACAAUUUAACAUCAAAUUGUACAAUCCCCUAACUUCCCCUUUUUUUCUGUAUAUUUACUCUGUAGAUGUUGAUGUACAUUCUGUCAAAUUCAAAAUUAAUAUAUCUAUCUAUAAAUAUAGUAGGAGUGACAGGGUGAAUACUUGAGCUGUAUAUAAUAAUUGUAUAUUUUUAGAUAUUUCCGAUUUUUGUACGUAAUGUACCCUUAUUGUGUCUGUAGAUUUACAAUGAUAAUAUAGUAUUAGUGUGAGAUUGUUGUUCUCAGUCAAAAUAACUGGAGAGACUGUACUUUGAUGUGUGUGUGUGUGCGUGUGUGCGUGUGUGCGUGUGUGCGUGUGUGCGUGUGUGUGUGUGUGUGUGUGUGCGUCUGGUGUCUGUGUUACCUGUAAGAUGUCACUGUUUAAAACUGGUUGUGUGUUUCUUGAUUUCCACCUUCAGUGAUUACAGCUUUACUAACUGUAGUCAAGUAGAUGAUGUGAACUCCGUUGUAAUGACGCUAAGCAAUCUAUCAGUGUUAUGUGUCUCUUCAGUUGCUCUUUGGGACAACUUUCUGGCUCCACAGAAAGGACAACUUGAACGUGGUCCUCCCCUGUGUGACAAUUCAUGAGCAUUAGUACUGUAGCAAUCUAUCUUUUUUGUCUUAGACAAAAAUUGAAAUAAAAGUUACCACUUGUAUGAACCACGUUA